rnacentral:lncRNA from 1 species
CAAUACUCUCAAAAUAAAAGAUGGGCUGAUCUAUUAUGCAAAAAGUGAUCAUUUGUUAUAUAAAAUCCAUACUGGUAUGAUAAAAAGAUAGCCAAUCCAUACCAAGUAUAAUAUCAAAACUCCAAAUCUCUAGGAGAACUAAAUCAGCAAAAAGUUCAAGUUCUCCAAUAAAAUCAGACAAGAGUACCAGAUUCAAGUUCGUUAUCAAAGAAUCUCCAAUGAUUGUAUUUACAUAUAUCACAUAAUACAGUGGUCUAGGUUGAAUACCCAAGUGAUAGGCAACAUGUUAUGAAUCAAAUCGUAGAUAGAACCCAUGGUUAAACAAAUAUUUGCAUUCUUUCAUAAACAUGCAUAAUAUCUUCGAUCACUAAUUCAGAAGUUUUAGAAUCAUAUUCAGUGAUAGCAUACACUCUUACAUGGGCUGAUGAUUUAUGUGGCAGUGACUCUAUUUUCUUGUUCAAGGGGCAGUCUUUUAUUUUAUGAUCCAACUUUCCAUAAGCAAAAUAGACUCCAGUCACCCGAAAACACAAACUUGUUUCAUAAUUUAACUUAUAAUUCACACAUGAUUGAGUCUUUUGUGGUGACUUCCUAUUUUAAAUCCAAAUGUCUUAUCCCUCUUGUUAUUACUUUCUGAUUUAUUUCCAAUCAUAUUUUUAUUGGUAAACUUGUCCUUAUCAUUCUUGCCACUAAUCUUCAAAAAUUCUUUUCAUUGUUCCCAUUAAUGAUCAGCCUCUACUUCCAAUAUAAGGUGGCAAAAGAAAUCUUUUGAUCAUCAGAUCAAUUUAGUACAUCAAAUAUCUUUUCUAUUCGCAUCAUCCAUUUUUCUACCACCAACGAAAUUAGGUUCACCACGCUUUCGUUGUACCACUCUGAUUCGAUAUCCCCGAUCAACCCUUUCAUCCCACUUAACUAAUCAGAAACAAUUAAAAUAGGCAGACCAAAUUGCCUCAUCAUCCUUGAUUCCUAAAAUGCAUCAAAGAAAAUUUUCACCAAUCACUGUAGUUCACUAGAUCUCAAUAUAUUUUGCACGUCAACAUAUCAAAUAUUUCAGUAAUCCUCAAACCAUGCUCUGAUACCACCUCUGUCACGCCCCUCAAAAUAUCCAUGAUAUUAAAAAUUUUCAUCACA